rnacentral:rRNA from 1 species
GGGUUGUGAGGUUAAGCGACUAAGCGUACACGGUGGAUGCCCUGGCAGUCAGAGGCGAUGAAGGACGUGCUAAUCUGCGAAAAGCGUCGGUAAGGUGAUAUGAACCGUUAUAACCGGCGAUGUCCGAAUGGGGAAACCCAGUGCAAUUCGUUGCACUAUCGUUAACUGAAUACAUAGGUUAACGAGGCGAACCGGGGGAACUGAAACAUCUAAGUACCCCGAGGAAAAGAAAUCAACCGAGAUUCCCCCAGUAGCGGCGAGCGAACGGGGAGCAGCCCAGAGUCUGAAUCAGCUUGUGUGUUAGUGGAACGGUCUGGAAAGUCCGACGGUACAGGGUGAUAGUCCCGUACACCAAAAUGCACAGGCUGUGAACUCGAAGAGUAGGGCGGGACACGUGGUAUCCUGUCUGAAUAUGGGGGGACCAUCCUCCAAGGCUAAAUACUCCUGACUGACCGAUAGUGAACCAGUACCGUGAGGGAAAGGCGAAAAGAACCCCGGCGAGGGGAGUGAAAAAGAACCUGAAACCGUGUACGUACAAGCAGUGGGAGCACCUUCGGGUGUGACUGCGUACCUUUUGUAUAAUGGGUCAGCGACUUAUAUUCUGUAGCAAGGUUAACCGUAUAGGGGAGCCGCAGGGAAACCGAGUCUUAACUGGGCGUUAAGUUGCAGGGUAUAGACCCGAAACCCGGUGAUCUAGCCAUGGGCAGGUUGAAGGUUGGGUAACACUAACUGGAGGACCGAACCGACUAAUGUUGAAAAAUUAGCGGAUGACUUGUGGCUGGGGGUGAAAGGCCAAUCAAACCGGGAGAUAGCUGGUUCUCCCCGAAAGCUAUUUAGGUAGCGCCUCGUGAACUCAUCUUCGGGGGUAGAGCACUGUUUCGGCUAGGGGGUCAUCCCGACUUACCAACCCGAUGCAAACUACGAAUACCGAAGAAUGUUAUCACGGGAGACACACGGCGGGUGCUAACGUCCGUCGUGAAGAGGGAAACAACCCAGACCGCCAGCUAAGGUCCCAAAGUCAUGGUUAAGUGGGAAACGAUGUGGGAAGGCACAGACAGCCAGGAUGUUGGCUUAGAAGCAGCCAUCAUUUAAAGAAAGCGUAAUAGCUCACUGGUCGAGUCGGCCUGCGCGGAAGAUGUAACGGGGCUAAACCAUGCACCGAAGCUGCGGCAGCGACACUAUGUGUUGUUGGGUAGGGGAGCGUUCUGUAAGCCUGCGAAGGUGUGCUGUGAGGCAUGCUGGAGGUAUCAGAAGUGCGAAUGCUGACAUAAGUAACGAUAAAGCGGGUGAAAAGCCCGCUCGCCGGAAGACCAAGGGUUCCUGUCCAACGUUAAUCGGGGCAGGGUGAGUCGACCCCUAAGGCGAGGCCGAAAGGCGUAGUCGAUGGGAAACAGGUUAAUAUUCCUGUACUUGGUGUUACUGCGAAGGGGGGACGGAGAAGGCUAUGUUAGCCGGGCGACGGUUGUCCCGGUUUAAGCAUGUAGGCUGGUUGUCCAGGCAAAUCCGGAUAAUCAAGGCUGAGGUGUGAUGACGAGGCACUACGGUGCUGAAGUAACAAAUGCCCUGCUUCCAGGAAAAGCCUCUAAGCAUCAGGUAACAUCAAAUCGUACCCCAAACCGACACAGGUGGUCAGGUAGAGAAUACCAAGGCGCUUGAGAGAACUCGGGUGAAGGAACUAGGCAAAAUGGUGCCGUAACUUCGGGAGAAGGCACGCUGGUGUGUAGGUGAAGUCCCUGCGGAUGGAGCUGAGACCAGUCGAAGAUACCAGCUGGCUGCAACUGUUUAUUAAAAACACAGCACUGUGCAAACACGAAAGUGGACGUAUACGGUGUGACGCCUGCCCGGUGCCGGAAGGUUAAUUGAUGGGGUUAUCCGUAAGGAGAAGCUCUUGAUCGAAGCCCCGGUAAACGGCGGCCGUAACUAUAACGGUCCUAAGGUAGCGAAAUUCCUUGUCGGGUAAGUUCCGACCUGCACGAAUGGCGUAAUGAUGGCCAGGCUGUCUCCACCCGAGACUCAGUGAAAUUGAACUCGCUGUGAAGAUGCAGUGUACCCGCGGCAAGACGGAAAGACCCCGUGAACCUUUACUAUAGCUUGACACUGAACAUUGAGCCUUGAUGUGUAGGAUAGGUGGGAGGCUUUGAAGCGUGGACGCCAGUCUGCGUGGAGCCAACCUUGAAAUACCACCCUUUAAUGUUUGAUGUUCUAACGUUGGCCCCUGACCGGGGUUGCGGACAGUGUCUGGUGGGUAGUUUGACUGGGGCGGUCUCCUCCCAAAGCGUAACGGAGGAGCACGAAGGUUAGCUAAUCCUGGUCGGACAUCAGGAGGUUAGUGCAAUGGCAUAAGCUAGCUUGACUGCGAGCGUGACGGCGCGAGCAGGUGCGAAAGCAGGUCAUAGUGAUCCGGUGGUUCUGAAUGGAAGGGCCAUCGCUCAACGGAUAAAAGGUACUCCGGGGAUAACAGGCUGAUACCGCCCAAGAGUUCAUAUCGACGGCGGUGUUUGGCACCUCGAUGUCGGCUCAUCACAUCCUGGGGCUGAAGUAGGUCCCAAGGGUAUGGCUGUUCGCCAUUUAAAGUGGUACGCGAGCUGGGUUUAGAACGUCGUGAGACAGUUCGGUCCCUAUCUGCCGUGGGCGCUGGAGAAUUGAGGGGGGCUGCUCCUAGUACGAGAGGACCGGAGUGGACGCAUCACUGGUGUUCGGGUUGUCAUGCCAAUGGCACUGCCCGGUAGCUAAAUGCGGAAGAGAUAAGUGCUGAAAGCAUCUAAGCACGAAACUUGCCCCGAGAUGAGUUCUCCCUGAGACUUUAAGUCUCCUGAAGGAACGUUAAAGACGAUGACGUUGAUAGGCCGGGUGUGUAAGCGCAGCGAUGCGUUGAGCUAACCGGUACUAAUGAACCGUGAGGCUUAACCUUACAACGCCGAAG